rnacentral:rRNA from 1 species
UACGGGAGGCAGCAGUGGGGAAUAUUGCACAAUGGGCGCAAGCCUGAUGCAGCCAUGCCGCGUGUAUGAAAAAGGCCUUCGGGUUGUAAAGUACUUUCAGUCGUGAGGAAGGUGUUAAGGUUAAUAACCUUAGCAAUUGACGUUAGCGACAGAAGAAGCACCGGCUAACUCCGUGCCAGCAGCCGCGGUAAUACGGAGGGUGCGAGCGUUAAUCGGAAUUACUGGGCGUAAAGGGCACGCAGGCGGUUAAUUAAGUUGGAUGUGAAAUCCCCGGGCUUAACCUGGGAGUGGCAUUCAAGACUGGUUAGCUAGAGUCUUGUAGAGGGGGUAGAAUUCCAUGUGUAGCGGUGAAAUGCGUAGAGAUGUGGAGGAAUACCGGUGGCGAAGGCGGCCCCUGGACAAAGACUGACGCUCAUGUGCGAAAGCGUGGGGAGCAAACAGGGAUUAGAUACC